CUGGAUUGGAAAAGAAUGAAAAGAAAAAUGUACUCACAGGAAUUGUUCUCUACAGACAUCUUAAACGUUAUCUUCUAACUGAAGAACAGUUACAAGAAAAUAACUAUCCUCAACCCAACCCUGACAAACCUGGAAGUAUUCUUUUAAGGCUGGGCAGGACAAAAAUUCUCACAAAUGAUGCUUCUAAGAAGAUAUGUUGUCGAUGUGGGGAAAUAUACGGUGUGACUCCUACAGGCAAACACAGUAGGGUACAAGAAUGUAACUACCACUGUGGACCAGUGUUGUGUC